rnacentral:lncRNA from 1 species
UUGAUUCAUCCAUAACUCAACAUAUACCACCAUCGAUCGAUCUUGAUCUUGAAAAAAUCAGCUAAAUUAAUGGAGGGUUUAAUCCCAUUGCUGAUCCGUGCAGUUAAGAAGCAGAGCAUCGUCAGCAAGCCUGCAUUCCACCACCUCCGCAGCUUCGAGUCCUUCUCCGAAAGCUCUACUCGAAGUCGAAGCUACCAUCCGCUGAUCGGCGAAUCCUUGAAUGAUGGAUCGUCUCACAGUCGAAGCCUCCCACUGCCGAUUUCUUGGAGCAGAGGUCAUCUGUGAUCUGCUUCGCUCCUCCGGUGGCGUCAGGAAUUCGCCAGAGAAAAAUCCUCCAGUAACUCUGAUGCUGUCAGAGUACCGGUUUCCGGUUCGACUCAAUGCUCGGUUCGGUUCUAAUCUCCAUAGGCAAUUGCACAGGAAAUGGACGUGACGAGUGAUAAGCAAGUAAUAAGACAGGACAUAGUGAUAUGCUUUAGAUGAAUGUUUAUAAAUGUGAGAUUUAUCUUAAAUUUUAAUUUUUCUGAUGAAACCGGUUUUAAACCGUUACACCUUCUAAGUUUUAACCGUUAUAUCUCUCGUCGGUCGCUAUCAGCAAAACACAGCUCGCGAGCAGUUUGAUGUUCAGUUCGAAAAACUCGUGCGCCACACGGGUCGAUUUUAAACGAGUCAGGGUAUGUUUGACUCGAUAGGCUCGUGAGCUUGCUCAAACUUGAGCCCUAGAGCCAACUUGACAAUACGACUCCUCGUUGGACUCAAUAAUACAACAUGUGUCUUGCCUCAAAUAAUAUAUACAAUCAACCAUAUGUAGAAAUUUAUCAAAUUUAGGAUAACUUGUUUUUUAGGCUGACUAGUCGAUGUUGUACAACCUUCAAAUUCGAUUCUUAUUGGAC